CAGUAGCCACGGGAAUACGAAGGGUGCAAGCGUUAAUCGGAAUUACUGGGCGUAAAGCGUGCGUAGGUGGUGGUUUAAGUCCGUUGUGAAAGCCCUGGGCUCAACCUGGGAAUUGCAGUGGAUACUGGGUCACUAGAGUGUGGUAGAGGAUAGUGGAAUUUCCGGUGUAGCAGUGAAAUGCGUAGAGAUCGGAAGGAACAUCUGUGGCGAAGGCGACUAUCUGGGCCAACACUGACACUGAGGCACGAAAGCGUGGGGAGCAAACAGGAUUAGAUACCCCGGUAGUCCCUGUCUCUUAUAA
rnacentral:rRNA from 1 species